rnacentral:rRNA from 1 species
CAGCCGCCGCGGUAAUACGUAGGGUGCGAGCGUUAAUCGGAAUUACUGGGCGUAAAGCGUGCGCAGGCGGUUCGUUAAGACAGAUGUGAAAUCCCCGGGCUUAACCUGGGAACUGCAUUUGUGACUGGCGAGCUAGAGUAUGGCAGAGGGGGGUAGAAUUCCACGUGUAGCAGUGAAAUGCGUAGAGAUGUGGGGGAAUACCGAUGGCGAAGGCAGCCCCCUGGGCCAAUACUGACGCUCAUGCACGAAAGCGUGGGGAGCAAACAGGAUUAGAUACCCCCGUAGUCCCUGUCUCUUAUAC